GAUGAACGCUGGCGGCGUGCCUAAUACAUGCAAGUCGAGCGAACAGACGAGGAGCUUGCUCCUCUGACGUUAGCGGCGGACGGGUGAGUAACACGUGGAUAACCUACCUAUAAGACUGGGAUAACUUCGGGAAACCGGAGCUAAUACCGGAUAAUAUAUUGAACCGCAUGGUUCAAUAGUGAAAGACGGUUGUGCUGUCACGUAUAGAUGGAUCCGCGCCGCAUUAGCGAGUUGGUAAGGCAACGGCUUACCAAGGCAACGAUGCGUAGCCGACCUGAGAGGGUGGUCGGCCCCCCUGGAAGUGGGACCCGCUCCAGCCUCCCAGGGGAGGCAGCAGUAGGGAAUCUUCCGCAAUGGGCGAAAGCUUGACGGAGCAACGCCGCGUGAGUGAUGAAGUGCUUCGGAUCGUAAAACUCUGUUAUUAGGUAAGAACAAAUGUGUAAGUAACUAUGCACGUCUUGACGGUACCUAAUCAGAAAGCCACGGCUAACUACGUG
rnacentral:rRNA from 1 species